AAGGUAGCAUAAUCAUUUGUUUUUUAAUUGAAAACUGGUAUGAAAGGUUAAACAAGGGAAAUUUUCUAAAUUUUUAAUAAAGUAAUUUGUAUUUUAAGUAAAAAUACUUAAAUAAAUUUGAGGGACGAUAAGACCCUAAAAGCUUUAUUUUUAAUGUAUAUCUUAAAAAUUAAUUUUAAUAUAAGAUUAAAUAUAAAAAUUAACUGGGGUAGUUAUUUCAAUUAAAUUGAAAUAAUUUUUACAGAUUUAAUAAGUGGAUUUAGUUCUUUUAUAUAAGGAAAAUUAGGUUUAGUUACUUUAGGGAUAACAGCGUUAUAUUUUUGGAGAGAUCUCUCCAUAAAAAUGAUUGCGACCUCGAUG
rnacentral:rRNA from 1 species